rnacentral:rRNA from 1 species
UACGUAGGGUGCAAGCGUUGUCCGGAAUUAUUGGGCGUAAAGAGCUCGUAGGCGGUUUGUCGCGUCUGCCGUGAAAGUCCGGGGCUCAACUCCGGAUCUGCGGUGGGUACGGGCAGACUAGAGUGAUGUAGGGGGAGACUGGAAUUCCUGGUGUAGCGGUGAAAUGCGCAGAUAUCAGGAGGAACACCGAUGGCGAAGGCAGGUCUCUGGGCAUUAACUGACGCUGAGGAGCGAAAAGCAUGGGGGAGCGAACAGG